AAUGAGGAUCUGUCCGAGGACCAGCAGAAAGCAGCCCACCAGCAUCUUCUCCAUCUUCAAGAAGAGGAAGAGGGGCAAGGCUGUGACAAACACAAGAAGAGGAGAGAGCAGGAAAUCAGGAUUAUUACUUCUGCUUUUUGGAGAUGAGGAAACUGAGGCUCAGAGAAGCUCAGCGAUUUGAUCAAGGUCAUGCAGCUAAAAGUCCCCCAGGACUGGAGCCACAGCAAGAUCCGAGGCUCAUCUUCCACCCGAGACCGGAAUCCCCACCUCCUUCCUGCCUGUCUGGCCAUCGGAACCCAACCACUGCUCAGACUCAAGGCCAUGGCUUGCACGUGGCUUUAAAUGUUAGACUGCCCUUUGCCUUCAAGUCGCCCUGACAUUGCCUGUCUGUGAUUUUUUCACCCAGUGAAAAAGGCCUGCUUGUCAGCUCAGCCUUUCCAAAGUUCAAGCUCAUCUUCUUCCACUCAAGCCCUUUCACGGUCAGGGUAGCCCAUGUGCUCAGCCACCAGCCAGGAAACUUGCAGCCAGCCUCCAUGUCUUCCUCGUAUCACCAUCACAUUCACAAGUGGGCAAACCCUGGUUUCCCACCUCUCUCCGUCCCACCCUCCUGACUGUCCUAUUGCCACAGCAAGGCUCUGUGCUCUCCUUUUCUCGCCCGGACUCUUCCCGGAGCUUCAGAACCGCUCUUUCUGCUUGGCGUCUUUCACCCACUGGUCCUGUCCCUCCUCUGUUCAGAACCCAUCUGUGGCCUUACUGCAUCACAUUAAUGGUCAAGGCUCUCCUUGACUGACUGCUGCCCACCUCUCCAACAAUGGCAAUCCCACAGCCACCCGGACCUCCCACUGGGGCCUGAAGAACUGAGAUUCUUGUCAUAGCUGAGUGCCUCCAUCCAUGCUGGUCCCUUGGCCUGGAAGCUCUACGUUAGUCAAAAUUGCAUUCAUUCCUCGAGGCUCAGCUCAUUGUGUCACCCACUCUCUAACAUGUUCUCAAUUUUCCCAAUGAGGAUCGACUUUCCUAUACACCCCUGACAAUGGGUUUGUUGUCUGCUCCAGCACUUGAGUUUUCUUGCUACCAUAUCUGUCUCCCAGCCUAGUCUGUGAGCUGUUCCCUGGGACCAUACAUUGUCAUCGCUGUAUCACCCACAUGCUGGGUGCUGAAUUUUAUAAAUACAUUUUUAGAAAAUAGACAAAUGUUGAAUAAGCACAUUUAUUGAUGAAUGAAAGAUCGAUAAAUGUUGACUCAAACUGGCCCUAGUUCUGUAGCUGACAAGUGCCAUGCCCCAACUCAUGUCUUCGUAUACAUACUACAUUUGCCUAACUACAGGUGACUCCAAUGGCUAUCUCUUAUGAUGGGAGGAUCCCCUCCCCCAAAUUUCUCAGCCAAGUUUCUCUGUCUGGGUGAAGGACGCCAGGCAGAAAGAGCAGUUCCGAAGCUCCGGGAAGAGUCUGGGUGAGAAAAGUUAAAUAUAUAAUUUUUAAAAGAUAUAGAUAAAGUAUAAAAUAUCUAGUUAUAAUAAACUCAUGUAUCAAUUUAGUCACAAACGCAUAUUCAAAACAUUUUAAAUUACAAAAUAAUACAUCACUUUACAAAUAAUGCUCUUUUCAUUAAAAAUGUUUCAUAGGGGCUCCUGGGUGGCUCAGUC